CCGGCGAUGUCCGAAUGGGGAAACCCAGUGCAAUUCGUUGCACUAUCGUUAACUGAAUACAUAGGUUAACGAGGCGAACCGGGGGAACUGAAACAUCUAAGUACCCCGAGGAAAAGAAAUCAACCGAGAUUCCCCCAGUAGCGGCGAGCGAACGGGGAGCAGCCCAGAGUCUGAAUCAGCUUGUGUGUUAGUGGAACGGUCUGGAAAGUCCGACGGUACAGGGUGAUAGUCCCGUACACCAAAAUGCACAGGUUGUGAACUCGAAGAGUAGGGCGGGACACGUGGUAUCCUGUCUGAAUAUGGGGGGACCAUCCUCCAAGGCUAAAUACUCCUGACUGACCGAUAGUGAACCAGUACCGUGAGGGAAAGGCGAAAAGAACCCCGGCGAGGGGAGUGAAAAAGAACCUGAAACCGUGUACGUACAAGCAGUGGGAGCACCUUCGGGUGUGACUGCGUACCUUUUGUAUAAUGGGUCAGCGACUUAUAUUCUGUAGCAAGGUUAACCGUAUAGGGGAGCCGCAGGGAAACCGAGUCUUAACUGGGCGUUAAGUUGCAGGGUAUAGACCCGAAACCCGGUGAUCUAGCCAUGGGCAGGUUGAAGGUUGGGUAACACUAACUGGAGGACCGAACCGACUAAUGUUGAAAAAUUAGCGGAUGACUUGUGGCUGGGGGUGAAAGGCCAAUCAAACCGGGAGAUAGCUGGUUCUCCCCGAAAGCUAUUUAGGUAGCGCCUCGUGAAUUCAUCUUCGGGGGUAGAGCACUGUUUCGGCUAGGGGGUCAUCCCGACUUACCAACCCGAUGCAAACUACGAAUACCGAAGAAUGUUAUCACGGGAGACACACGGCGGGUGCUAACGUCCGUCGUGAAGAGGGAAACAACCCAGACCGCCAGCUAAGGUCCCAAAGUCACAGUUAAGUGGGAAACGAUGUGGGAAGGCACAGACAGCCAGGAUGUUGGCUUAGAAGCAGCCAUCAUUUAAAGAAAGCGUAAUAGCUCACUGGUCGAGUCGGCCUGCGCGGAAGAUGUAACGGGGCUAAACUGUGCACCGAAGCUGCGGCAGCGACACUAUGUGUUGUUGGGUAGGGGAGCGUUCUGUAAGCCUGCGAAGGUGGCCUGUGAGGGUUGCUGGAGGUAUCAGAAGUGCGAAUGCUGACAUAAGUAACGAUAAUGCGGGUGAAAAGCCCGCACGCCGGAAGACCAAGGGUUCCUGUCCAACGUUAAUCGGGGCAGGGUGAGUCGACCCCUAAGGCGAGGCCGAAAGGCGUAGUCGAUGGGAAACAGGUUAAUAUUCCUGUACUUGGUGUUACUGCGAAGGGGGGACGGAGAAGGCUAUGUUAGCCGGGCGACGGUUGUCCCGGUUUAAGCAUGUAGGCGGAGGUUCCAGGUAAAUCCGGUACCUUUUUAACGCUGAGGUGUGAUGACGAGGCACUACGGUGCUGAAGUAACAAAUGCCCUGCUUCCAGGAAAAGCCUCUAAGCAUCAGGUAACAUUAAAUCGUACCCCAAACCGACACAGGUGGUCAGGUAGAGAAUACCAAGGCGCUUGAGAGAACUCGGGUGAAGGAACUAGGCAAAAUGGUGCCGUAACUUCGGGAGAAGGCACGCUGAUAUGUAGGUGAAGCCCCUGCGGGUGGAGCUGAAAUCAGUCGAAGAUACCAGCUGGCUGCAACUGUUUAUUAAAAACACAGCACUGUGCAAACACGAAAGUGGACGUAUACGGUGUGACGCCUGCCCGGUGCCGGAAGGUUAAUUGAUGGGGUUAUCCGUAAGGAGAAGCUCUUGAUCGAAGCCCCGGUAAACGGCGGCCGUAACUAUAACGGUCCUAAGGUAGCGAAAUUCCUUGUCGGGUAAGUUCCGACCUGCACGAAUGGCGUAAUGAUGGCCAGGCUGUCUCCACCCGAGACUCAGUGAAAUUGAACUCGCUGUGAAGAUGCAGUGUACCCGCGGCAAGACGGAAAGACCCCGUGAACCUUUACUAUAGCUUGACACUGAACAUUGAGCCUUGAUGUGUAGGAUAGGUGGGAGGCUUUGAAGCGUGGACGCCAGUCUGCGUGGAGCCAACCUUGAAAUACCACCCUUUAAUGUUUGAUGUUCUAACGUUGGCCCCUUAUCGGGGUUGCGGACAGUGUCUGGUGGGUAGUUUGACUGGGGCGGUCUCCUCCCAAAGAGUAACGGAGGAGCACGAAGGUUAGCUAAUCCUGGUCGGACAUCAGGAGGUUAGUGCAAUGGCAUAAGCUAGCUUGACUGCGAGCGUGACGGCGCGAGCAGGUGCGAAAGCAGGUCAUAGUGAUCCGGUGGUUCUGAAUGGAAGGGCCAUCGCUCAACGGAUAAAAGGUACUCCGGGGAUAACAGGCUGAUACCGCCCAAGAGUUCAUAUCGACGGCGGUGUUUGGCACCUCGAUGUCGGCUCAUCACAUCCUGGGGCUGAAGUAGGUCCCAAGGGUAUGGCUGUUCGCCAUUUAAAGUGGUACGCGAGCUGGGUUUAGAACGUCGUGAGACAGUUCGGUCCCUAUCUGCCGUGGGCGCUGGAGAAUUGAGGGGGGCUGCUCCUAGUACGAGAGGACCGGAGUGGACGCAUCACUGGUGUUCGGGUUGUCAUGCCAAUGGCAUUGCCCGGUAGCUAAAUGCGGAAGAGAUAAGUGCUGAAAGCAUCUAAGCACGAAACUUGCCCCGAGAUGAGUUCUCCCUGAGACUUUAAGUCUCCUGAAGGAACGUUAAAGACGAUGACGUUGAUAGGUCGGGUGUGUAAGCGUAGCGAUACGUUGAGCUAACCGAUACUAAUGAACCGUGAGGCUUAACCUU
rnacentral:rRNA from 1 species